rnacentral:rRNA from 1 species
UCAAGCUACAAAGAGCACAAGGGGAAUGCCUUGGCAUCGGGAGCCGAAGAAGGACGCGACUAACUGCGAUAAGCUACGGGGAGCCGUAAGUAGGCAUUGAUCCGUAGAUUUCCGAAUGGAGCAAUCCGACUAGAGUCAUGUCUAGUCAUCAUAUGCUGAAUAAAAUAGGUAUAUGAGGGGAACCGCCUGAACUGAAACAUCUAAGUAGGGCGAGGAAAAGAAAUCAACCGAGAUUCCGCAAGUAGUGGCGAGCGAACGCGGAAGAGGCCAAACCGAGAGUAGUAAUACUUUCGGGGUUCGGACAGCGGACGGUAUGCUGAAGGUUAGCAGAAGGACAUGGGACGGUCCACCAAAGAGAGUGAAAGUCUCGUAUGCGAAAACUGAAAGCAGCCAGCUGAAUCCAGAGUACCGCCGGACACGUGAAACCCGGUGGGAAUAUGGGGGGACCAUCCUCCAAGCCUAAAUACUACCCAGUGACCGAUAGCGUAUAGUACUGUGAAGGAAAGGUGAAAAGAACCCCGGGAGGGGAGUGAAAAGAACCUGAAACCUUGUGCUUACAAGCACACAAAGCACGUCAACGUGUGAUGUGGUACCUUUUGUAGAAUGGUCCGGCGAGUGAAUGUAACUGGCGAGGUUAAGUUCUUAAGGAACGGAGCCGAAGCGAAAGCAAGUCUGAAUAGGGCGUCUUAGUCAGUUGUAUUCGACCCGAAACCGGGUGACCUAUCCAUGUCCAGGAUGAAGUUAAGGUAAAACUUGAUGGAGGUCCGAACCCACGGUCGUUGAAAUGCCCGGGGAUGAGAUGUGGAUAGCGGAGAAAUUCCAAUCGAACCCGGAUAUAGCUGGUUCUCUCCGAAAUAGCUUUAGGGCUAGCCUCGACUGAACAUUACCGGAGGUAGAGCACUGAAUGGGCUAGGGGCCGAGAGGUUACUGAACCCUAUCAAACUUCAAAUGCCGGAAAAUGAUAGUCGGGAGUCAGACUGCGUGAGAUAAGUUUCGUAGUCGAAAGGGAAACAGCCCAGACCCACAGCUAAGGUCCCAAAGUACGGUUAAGUGGAAAAGGAUGUGGAGUUGCACAGACAACCAGGAUGUUGGCUUAGAAGCAGCCACUCAUUAAAAGAGUGCGUAAUAGCUCACUGGUCGAGUGACCCUGCGCCGAAAAUUCAACGGGGCUAAAUUAUACACCGAAGCUUGGGAUACCGCAAGGUAUGGUAGGAGAGCGUUCUGUAAGGAGUGAAGUGAGAGCGAAAGCGUUCGUGGACUUUACAGAAGUGAGAAUGCCGGAAUGAGUAGCGAGAAAUAUGUGAGAAUCAUAUUGGCCGAAAGUCUAAGGUUUUUGGAGGAAGGUUCGUCCGCUCCAAGUAAGUCGGGAGCUAAGGUGAGGCCUAACGGCGUAGCCGAUGCACAUACGGUAGAUAUUCCGUAACCACCGAAAGAUUUAAACACAGGGACACCUUGAAAGGGCAUAUCCCGGGAGUUGGUUUACCCGGGCGUAAGGGAUCGAAAUUUGAGUAGAGAAGUAUGUUUGGACGAGGGCGAGAAAAGCUGUGCGUAUAUUUUAGGUGCCCGUACCGCAAACCGACACAGGUGGACAGGAAGAGGAUUCUAAGGCCAACGGGAGAAGGGUAAUUAAGGAACUCGGCAAAUUGACCCCGUAACUUAGGGAUAAGGGGUGCUCAUAGGAAUAUGAGCCGCAGAGAAUAGGCCCAGGCAACUGUUUAUCAAAAACACAGGUCUCUGCCAAAUCGAAAGAUGAAGUAUAGGGGCUGACACCUGCCCGGUGCUGGAAGGUUAAGAGGAGGAGUGAGAGCUCCGAAUUGAAGCCCCAGUAAACGGCGGCCGUAACUAUAACGGUCCUAAGGUAGCGAAAUUCCUUGUCGGGUAAGUUCCGACC